AUUUGACAAUAUCGACUAAUGUGGUUGUCAAGUCUUGUGAUAACAGGAGCAAUUAACGAUUCGGAUACUCCCGUCACCAUAGAAAAUGUGAUAAUAAAAGCGAGGUAUAAAUCGGGUCUAUUUGUUGAUCCGAGCCAGGUGUAUGCUGAGAGCCCGGAUGAAGAUCAAGCGUCAAGCAAGAACCGAACACAUGUUUAAUAAAGCUUCCGCAACGUUGUUUUGUCGUUAUUCUAAACGGCGAAUUAAAUCACAUUAUGUAUAUCGCUUAAAUUAUAAAAGUUUUUAACAAGCCCGUAUUUUCAGUAUAAUUGUGAUUGUAAUU